GUGGGAAACACCGAGCUUGAUGUCCUGCAGUGCCUUCCCCUCCUCAGCCUUCCUCGGGCACCUUGUCCUGAGAUCCAGCACAUCUGAGAAGUGGAAGUUGGAGCUGGAGACUCAGCAACAAAUCCACUGGGGAAACCCAGGAUGAUGGAUCUUUGCACAGAUCCAGCACCCCCAGACCCUUGGGGAGAAGCUCUUUGCAGCAGGGGCAGCCUGAGGGCACUGUCUGCACUCCUCAACAGGCAGAGACCUGCAGGAAUGAGACACCAGCAGAGGGAGAAAAGCACCAGGAUGCCCAGUUUGAUUUACAUAAACCCAUCUGGAAGAUGUUCUGAUUGUUCUGAAAGUCUGGAGA